CGCGGCCUAUCAGCUUGUUGGUGAGGUAAUGGCUCACCAAGGCGACGACGGGUAGCCGGCCUGAGAGGGCGACCGGCCACACUGGGACUGAGACACGGCCCAGACUCCUACGGGAGGCAGCAGUGGGGAAUAUUGCACAAUGGGCGAAAGCCUGAUGCAGCGACGCCGCGUGAGGGAUGACGGCCUUCGGGUUGUAAACCUCUUUCAGCAGGGAAGAAGCGAAAGUGACGGUACCUGCAGAAGAAGCGCCGGCUAACUACGUGCCAGCAGCCGCGGUAAUACGUAGGGCGCAAGCGUUGUCCGGAAUUAUUGGGCGUAAAGAGCUCGUAGGCGGCUUGUCACGUCGGGUGUGAAAGCCCGGGGCUUAACCCCGGGUCUGCAUUCGAUACGGGCAGGCUAGAGUGUGGUAGGGGAGAUCGGAAUUCCUGGUGUAGCGGUGAAAUGCGCAGAUAUCAGGAGGAACACCGGUGGCGAAGGCGGUUCUCUGGGCCAUUACUGACGCUGAGGAGCGAAAGCGUGGGGAGCGAACAGGACUAGAUACCCUGGUAGUCCACGCCGUAAACGGUGGGAACUAGGUGUUGGCGACAUUCCACGUCGUCGGUGCCGCAGCUAACGCAUUAAGUUCCCCGCCUGGGGAGUACGG
rnacentral:rRNA from 1 species